AAUAUUUAUAAAAUAAUGCAAUACAGGGCCCCUGUUUUCAAGGCUUCACUCUUGACCUCUGGAUAUGGGACACGCAAGGUAAAGUACAGUAGCUCAUUUGAACUGUUACAUACUUAAAUAUUUAGCUGUAUAUUCUGUAAAGAGUGUAUACCCACACAUGAGAUAACCUAAUUAUGUCCUGAGGUCCCUAGUAAAUAAUUUAGAUUUUUUUUUUGGCAAGUUUCAAUAUAAGGAAUGUUGGAAAACAUUGUUUUAGGCUGGGAGGACAGAAGUCGUAAAUUGAUUCUUGAAGUUAAGGUAAAAUUUGGCUAGACAGAGAAGAAAAGGAUUUUAUAGGCAAAGGAAAGACGAUGAAGAAAUGAAAGAAUUGAGACUGAAUAUGGACAAGUAAUAAAACUGACUUGAAAGAAAAUAUGAUGCAUGUUGGAGAAUAGUAGUUCAGUUUGACUGCUG
rnacentral:lncRNA from 1 species